AAAAAAUUAGGGGUUCUGGAGGUGCAUGCCUUUAAACCUCACGCAACCAUAAUCCCGACGGAAAACUAAACUCAUAUAAAGUCACUGUAAUUUCGAGAGAUUGAAAUUGAGUUUUGACAGUGGUGAAGUCGUCGUCCACUCACUGUUCCUAUUCACUGCUUGGAAAAAGGUAAAGUUUUCAUAUUCUUACACAUCUCUUCUGUAAAAAUUGGUAAUCGCGUGACUGGAAUAUGUAGUGUAUGAAUAUUGAGAGUUUGAAUUUGAUUUUGUAGUUACAAUCUCACUGCAUGGGGAUAUAACUCAAGUUCUUAUCUUUGUUUUCAUUCCCUUUUGUGACUUAGCCAUAUCUCCAUAGUACCUUAAGCGCUCUGCUACUUAUUGCACUCAAAUAUUGAUUAUGUCUUUAUGGUUGAACUGAUUUUGGGUGCCUUGUUUCAAAUGGUUGGGUUGAAGUAUUGUUGGUGUGAUUUAAAAUAGUCUUGAAGUUAAGAAUUUUCCUAUGAUUCUGGCAUAAUCAGUUAGGAGGAGAUGGAGCCAUUUCCCGUAAAAAUAGAACUAGAAGAUGGAGAAGAAUGAUGAAAUUGUCAUUUUUCGUCUUAAUAUAGUAACACACACCCUUAUUAAUGCUCUAUUCGACAUCCUUAGAAUAACCAAGACAGACGUGCUCGGAAUAUCCUAAUAAGAAAGUUGGAAAACUUUCUAACUGGAGUUGUGUAACUCCAGAUGAUGCCAAAAAAGCCCUUCCUCGGAUUCGAACCGUGACUUUCUUAGCCUAUUUCUAAAGGGUGAACUGAUCAACUUACAUGUGUCAAGCAUACGACCGAAGUAGCAUAAUUAGACUUUCUUAUAACUUUUUUGACUAGCUAUAAACUUCAACCCCCUUCGAUGUCAAUUUAGAAUGAAUCUAUGUAAAGAUCUUAAUAGGAUAAUAUUUGUCAAUAUUGACUUGCCUUUUUUAUUUCCUCAAUACCUAAUUCUUAUUAUUUUCUUUGGUGCAUGUGAAACAAAUUCUAGUCCAAUUGGACUCUGUAUCCCUUGCAUUUUCUGGGGUGCCAAAGAGGCCCAAUUUGUCAAGUUAUGCCUCAUUAAAGUCCUCAAAAUGGAUCAGUAUACCAUGGACAGCUGCUGGUAUACACAGCAUACAGAUGAUAUACGAGGUUUACCGGUUAAAGGUUGCUUCUAUAAGCCAAGAAAUGACACUCAAAUAUUGAUUAUGUCUUUAUGGUUGAACUGAUUUUGGGUGCCUUGUUUCAAAUGGUUGGGUUGAAGUAUUGUUGGUGUGAUUUAAAAUAGUCUUGAAGUUAAGAAUUUUCCUAUGAUUCUGGCAUAAUCAGUUAGGAGGAGAUGGAGCCAUUUCCCGUAAAAAUAGAACUAGAAGAUGGAGAAGAAUGAUGAAAUUGUCAUUUUUCGUCUUAAUAUAGUAACACACACCCUUAUUAAUGCUCUAUUCGACAUCCUUAGAAUAACCAAGACAGACGUGCUCGGAAUAUCCUAAUAAGAAAGUUGGAAAACUUUCUAACUGGAGUUGUGUAACUCCAGAUGAUGCCAAAAAAGCCCUUCCUCGGAUUCGAACCGUGACUUUCUUAGCCUAUUUCUAAAGGGUGAACUGAUCAACUUACAUGUGUCAAGCAUACGACCGAAGUAGCAUAAUUAGACUUUCUUAUAACUUUUUUGACUAGCUAUAAACUUCAACCCCCUUCGAUGUCAAUUUAGAAUGAAUCUAUGUAAAGAUCUUAAUAGGAUAAUAUUUGUCAAUAUUGACUUGCCUUUUUUAUUUCCUCAAUACCUAAUUCUUAUUAUUUUCUUUGGUGCAUGUGAAACAAAUUCUAGUCCAAUUGGACUCUGUAUCCCUUGCAUUUUCUGGGGUGCCAAAGAGGCCCAAUUUGUCAAGUUAUGCCUCAUUAAAGUCCUCAAAAUGGAUCAGUAUACCAUGGACAGCUGCUGGUAUACACAGCAUACAGAUGAUAUACGAGGUUUACCGGUUAAAGGUUGCUUCUAUAAGCCAAGAAAUGACGUUAUGAUGAAGUUGGGAGCAAGUAUACAGGUUUUAUAUGCUAAUAUACAGUGUAUAUACAGAAAAACACAAAGAAAAGAGCUAUGAUAUACAGAUGAUAUACACUUCAGAAAAUGGAUUGAAGUCCAUAAUCCCAAGCCCAAAGGCUGGGCAGCUUGAUAAAUGGGCCAAUUAAAGGCCGAACUUCAAUUCUUGUAUUAUUCUUUGUAGCUUAUAAUUUAGGAAAAAUUAAUGAAAGUAACAUAGUUAAGAGUAUAAUUGCAUUAAAUAACAACAUUUUUUCAAAAUUACAAUUUAUAGCAAGAGUAACAUUAUUUUGUCCAUAAAUUUCAAACACACGUGUUUCACUCCCUCUCUCCUAUUUUUACUUCAUUACUUUACCUCUCUCCUAUUUUUACUCCAUUACUUCACUCCCACAAAAAAACAUUUUACAUCCACUGAAGAUUUUUAUCUUCAUGAGCUUCGAAAAUUCAAAAUAGAUCAUCAAUGGUGUUAUAGGUAUUGAAUCAAAAAAUUAUUUUCGUACAUCAAUUUCAACAACUUAAAAUGAUUUAAUAUUGUUUGAUAUUGUUUUUUCAUCUUUUUUUUUUUUAGCAAAUAGUUUUUUGAACAUUUUGUAUAUGAAUUUUUAAAAAAAAUGAAGGCAAUUGUACUAGGAGAUCGAAUUAGAUGAAAAUCGAACUGAUCGAGUUAAUGUUUGUUCAAACUUGAUUUUGAUACUUUAAAUAUUUUUUUUCCUUGAGGCAAACAAUAAAAUGUUUCUCUUUGUCAUGUACUGUAUAAACAUACUUUGUAAUCGGUACAACCUGAAAUGUUUUUUUAAAAAAUUAGUUAAAAAACUCACAUUAGUAUCCUGAAAUUUUUUUUAAAAAAUUAGUUAAAAAACUCACAUUAGUAUUUUUUGAUUUUGCAUAUGUAUUUUUUAGUUCUGCAUAUGUAUUUACAGGUCUUUAUAUGUAUUUUCAGCUCUUUUAUGGUUGUAUAAAUAUUUUAUGCACAACUAUACAUAUAUCUUACAUAAUACAUAAGAAAAUACAUGUUUUACUGGAGUCAAAGUGUACACGUAUGACGGUAAUUCGUUCUAUUGGAGUAUUUUUUGAAAUACAAAUACCAAAAUAAAAUACAAUUACAUUUACUAAAUAUACAAAUGCAACUACAUCACAACAUAUAAUUACGAAUAUAACUACAACAUACAAUUAAGAUAAAUACAUAUCAAGAUAAAUAGUAUAGUUGUUUUAUACUGUGUUAAGAUAUGCAUUUGUAUUUUUUAUUUAAUAUGACAAUGAUAUGUACUUUGUAAAUACAUGAGUUUAUAUAUGUAUGUUUUAUAUGAUAAUAUACACUUUGGACCAGAUAUGUAUUUUGAAAAUAUAUAUGUGGGGAUAUAUGUAUUUGUUAUAAUGUAAUAUGUAUGAUGUAAUAGAAACAUAUGCAUAUUAUGUAGUUUUUUUUUUUUUUUUUGUGAGAAGUACAUGUAAUAUAGAUUUAUGUCAUUUUUUGGGUCUAUAGUUUCCACGUGAUCAAAUAUUCAUGGCAAGGGCACUUUCAAAAUUUGCACCACAUAUAGGAUGUCACACGGUCAACGAUAUUGAAGAACAUAUUAAGGCUAUGUUAUCAAAAGAGCAGUACAAGAAUUUUUCGUCAUAAGAAUAUUUUUGAUGUCUACAUCAUGAAGAAGAAAUGUGUAGUUUAAGCGCAAUUAGGCAAAUGUAUUAUGUCACUUUUUGUUAUAGAGAUUUUGUGUCCUAUAUAUUUAUAUAUACAUAUGAGUAAGAUAUGUAUUUCUGUAAAUACAUAUGCAGAUAUAUAUGUAUAUUUUGUAUUGUAAAUACAUACGCAGAUCU
rnacentral:lncRNA from 1 species